rnacentral:lncRNA from 1 species
UUUUGACAGAAAAGAGGAGUGAUGAUGAAUGUCUUGAACAAAAACCAGCUCAGCCCGGUAGGAAAUGGCACGAACUCGGACUUCCUCCUGUUUCCCCGCGUGACUGUGUCAAAGAUGCCGUGGCAGCAGAAGUGUUUGAUCACGUCUGGACAAAUAUGGUAGAACUUUUGGAAGAGCUGAUUAGAAAACACUGGGAAACUACACUCACAGAAGGGAAAAAACAGAGAGAAACAUUGAAAGUGGCUGGAAACAGAUUUCCGCACGUCCUCAUUCCACGCGCUCACGCCGAUGGAGCCAGUGGCCCCCCGUCCGGACGCUCCGAGGCUCACGGCAUCUCCCUGGCUUCUCGUCCGAACCCG